rnacentral:rRNA from 1 species
CAGUAGCCGCGGGAAUACGGAGGGCGCGAGCGUUACCCGGAUUUACUGGGCGUAAAGGGCGUGUAGGCGGCCUGGGGCGUCCCAUGUGAAAGGCCACGGCUCAACCGUGGAGGAGCGUGGGAUACGCUCAGGCUAGAGGGUGGGAGAGGGUGGUGGAAUUCCCGGAGUAGCGGUGAAAUGCGCAGAUACCGAGAGGAACGCCGAUGGCGAAGGCAGCCACCUGGUCCACUUCUGACGCUGAGGCGCGAAAGCGUGGGGAGCAAACCGGAUUAGAGACCCGAGUAGUCCCUGUCUCUUAUAC